UGCCGCCUCCCACCCCUACUUUCCUACCCGCCUGCAAACAGAAGCACCCGCCUUGCCGCCAACUGAACAAACGCCUCUCACUUGGGGAAGCGACGUUUUGAAGUCCCAGCCCCAGUGCUACUGGCCCAAGAAGGAAAGAGACAGCUUCCUGGUUGCCCUAAGAAGAUUAUCAAUGUCCUAAGCUUUUCCUGAAGGCAUGGUUAUCUGGGCAAAGGAGACAGUGCUUUGACCCAUUCAUUCAUCCUUCAUCACCCAUGGAUGGAGCAUGAUGCAUCCGUGAUAAAGAGAGUUUUUCAUGAAUGUACCUUCUAGUUAUAUAAUGGGCCACUUUCUCUGGAGGAAGCCAGUGGCCAUGUCAGAAAGAUACUCAAGCAGCUCUAUGGGGAGGUCCUUAUAGGAAAGAACUGGAGCCUCCUGUCAACAGUGAGCAUCAAGUUGUCAGUCAUAUGAGUGAACCAUUUUGGUCAUGGAUCCUCUAACCCCAAUCAGACUUUCAGAUGAUGCAGCCCUGGACAACAUCUUGAGUGCAACCUGAGAGAUCUUGAGCCAGAACCAUCAGUUAAGCUCUUCUUGAACCUCCUGACCCACAGAAAACUGUGGGAUGAUAUAUUUAUCAUUAUUUUAAGCUGAUACACUUUGGAGGAAUUUGUUGUAAAGAAACAGAUGACUAAAAUAUUUAUAAACCACAUUUUAUUAAUCACUGAAUUCUUGUUGAUUUUGCUCUUUAAAUAUUUCCUAAGUAUAGCUCAUCUUCUUUAUUGGCACUAUUAGUGUUCUAAUUUUAGGCCAUUAUCAUUUCUUUACUAGAUUAUUGCAGUAUUGGUUUCCUUGCCUUUAAUUAACCUCCUCUCCUACCUCUAAUUCAUUCUCUAUGUUGCCAUCAGUUGCCUUUUAAAAAUAUCAAUCUGAUCAUGUUAUUCCAUUGCUUUAUCAGUCAGGAAGUUUUGCUUCCUGAAGUUUUGCUGCAGUAAUAAACAACCUCUAAAUCGAAGUGGUUAAGACAACCAGGGUUUGUUUCUUCCUCUUGCUCCAAGCCCACUGUCAUUCACUGUGACCACUCAGGAACUGAGUCCGACAGAAAAGCCGGUCUCUGAAGACUGUGAGUCGCUGGCGGGAGAGACCAGCAAUCUGGUAAAAGAGAGCGCGGUGAAGCGCGCACUGACCCUUAAACAUCCAUGCGGAAGUGACACCCAGCACUUCUCUUUGCGUUCCACUGGCCAGAACAAGUCAUAUGAUCAUUUCUAACUUCAGGUGGGCAGGGAAAGUCUAUCCAUCAUGUGCCAUAUUAAAACUUUGACUGGUUCAGAUCUGAAAGAGACACGUGCACCCCAAU